CCUACGGGGGGCAGCAGUGAGGAAUAUUGGUCAAUGGACGAGAGUCUGAACCAGCCAAGUAGCGUGAAGGAUGACUGCCCUAUGGGUUGUAAACUUCUUUUAUAUGGGAAUAAAAUGUUCCACGUGUGGGAUUUUGUAUGUACCAUAUGAAUAAGGAUCGGCUAACUCCGUGCCAGCAGCCGCGGUAAUACGGUGGAUCCGAGCGUUAUCCGGAUUUAUUGGGUUUAAAGGGAGCGUAGGUGGAUUGUUAAGUCAGUUGUGAAAGUUUGCGGCUCAACCGUAAAAUUGCAGUUGAAACUGGCAGUCUUGAGUACAGUAGAGGUGGGCGGAAUUCGUGGUGUAGCGGUGAAAUGCUUAGAUAUCACGAAGAACUCCGAUUGCGAAGGCAGUUCACUGGACUGCAACUGACACUGAGGCGCGAAAGUGUGGGUAUCAAACAGGAUUAGAUACCCCGGUAGUC
rnacentral:rRNA from 1 species